GUCCACGCUGUAAACGAUGGUCACUCGAUAUAUGCACUGGUGCAUGUGUCUAAGCGAAAGCAUUAAGUGACCCACCUGGGAAGUACGCUCGCAAGAGUGAAACUUAAAGGAAUUGACGGGGGUCCGCACAAGCGGUGGAACAUGUGGUUUAAUUCGAUACUACGCGAAGAACCUUACCUAGGCUAGAAUGUAUAUCGCUAUACCAAGAGAUUGGUAGUUUCGUAAGAACGGUAUACAAGGUGCUGCAUGGCU
rnacentral:rRNA from 1 species